UACAGAGGGGGCAAGCGUUGUUCGGAUUCAUUGGGCGUAAAGGGUGCGUAGGCGGCGCGGUAAGUCGGGUGUGAAAUCUCGGAGCUUAACUCCGAAACUGCAUUCGAUACUGCCGUGCUUGAGGACUGGAGAGGAGACUGGAAUUUACGGUGUAGCGGUGAAAUGCGUAGAUAUCGGGAGGAAUACCAGUGGCGAAGGCGGCCUUCUGGACGGAUACUGACGCUGAGGCGCGAAAGCCAGGGGAGCAAACGGG
rnacentral:rRNA from 1 species